rnacentral:rRNA from 1 species
CUACGGGGGGCUGCAGUGAGGAAUAUUGCACAAUGGGGGGAACCCUGAUGCAGCAACGCCGCGUGGAGGAUGACGCAUUUCGGUGUGUAAACUCCUUUUAUAUGUCAAGAAAAUGACGGUAGCAUAUGAAUAAGCGCCGGCUAACUCCGUGCCAGCAGCCGCGGUAAUACGGAGGGCGCAAGCGUUACUCGGAAUCACUGGGCGUAAAGGACGCGUAGGCGGGUUGAAAAGUCAGGUGUGAAAUCCUACAGCUUAACUGUAGAACUGCACUUGAAACUUCUAAUCUAGAGUAUGGGAGGGGGAGAUGGAAUUAGUGGUGUAGGGGUAAAAUCCGUAGAUAUCACUAGGAAUACCUAAAGCGAAGGCGAUCUCCUGGAACAUUACUGACGCUAAGGCGUGAAAGCGUGGGGAGCAAACAGGAUUAGAUACCCUGGUAGUC